GAGUAUAGGGGCAUAUUAGAUUUGUCUUAAGAGAAACUUAAAAGAAUUUGAUUAAGUUUAUACAAACAAUUAUUUGAUAUACACAACACCAAAAUAAUGCUAUUAAAAUCAUUAUUUAGUAUAUUUAUUAUUGUAAAAUUUUAUUUUGUUUUAUAUGUUCGUGUUGGGCUGGGUUUUGUUCGCACAAAACUUGAUGCCCGAGCCUAUACUGAAUUUUCGACUCGACUGCAUAAUCAAGCCCGAGCCUGUCCUUGGGAUUUUGGGAGUGAUCGAGGUAUAUAUAUAUAUAUAUAUGACUCGACUCCGUGAUUCUGAUGAUCAAAAUUUUAUAUUAUGCUAUUUUUAAUUCUCUCUAUUAAAAAUAAAAAACUAUUUUUUAAGUCGGAAUGGUGUUACAGUUGUUGCUAUUAGUGCUCAAUACUUACCAAUUUGGUGGUCAUCUAUGGUGGUCGUGUAGUCAUUAACAGAAUCGGUAUCAACCGGGGCCUGCUCGUUAAUCCGUCUGGCCGCGAUGGUGGAGGUGUCGGGUGGCGCCCCAGUCCUACCUCCUGCCAGCAUGUACAUUAAAUUCAUUUUCUUGAUGAGACGGUUACUCAUGGUAUUAAUAUCAUAACUUUUAACAUAUAAUAAACACACGUUCACUAAUAAUUGGAUUUAGCUAUUUAUACUGAACACUUUUAAUUUAUAACCAACUUUAUUCUUUAAUAAAUUAUAUUUUAUUUGCUUAUGGUAUAUCUAUUAGUAUAUUUUCUCUUUUAUUUUUUGUUAUUUCUCAAAGAAAUCAGAAAUAGCUAUGUAUAGGUCAUUAUUAUAAGUACAACAUGAUAAAAAUGACAUAUAUUUUUUGCUAAAAGACAUACUUCCAUGAAAAUUUUAGCAUGGGUUAUUAAGCAUGACAAUGUUUUCUUAAAUCUUGGCAAAUUGAAAAG
rnacentral:lncRNA from 1 species